rnacentral:rRNA from 2 species
UGUAGCGUAAUCAAUAGCCAAUUAAUUGUUGGCCGGUAUGAAUGGCAUCACGAAGGCCCCACUGUCUUAAGAGGACUCUCCAUGAAAUUGAAAUCGUAGUGAAGAUGCUACGUCCAUAUUGUAAGACGAAAAGACCCCAUUGAGCUUUACUAAAGACUUGUAUGGCUCGAAAUAACUUAAAUAAAAAGUUUAGAUAAUGUGGGAUCCGUUUUGGUUAAUGAAACACCACUCUUUUAUUUUAAGAGAGCUAACCUUGUAGGGAGAAUGCAAGUUGGAUAGUUUGGUUGGGGCGACCACCUUUUAAAAGGUAACGAAGGUGAGCUUAAGGUCCGUAGUUAAUAGCUAGUGGCCUGACUGCAAGGGGGACAUCCCGAGCAGACACUGGUAAUCUCUCAGUGGGUUAUAGUGACCCGUCAUCUUAGAGUGGAAUAGUUGACGAUC